UAAGGAAUAUUGGUCAAUGGACGCAAGUCUGAACCAGCCAUGCCGCGUGAAGGAUGAAGGUCCUCUGGAUUGUAAACUUCUUUUAUCUGGGACGAAAACGGGAUUUUUAUCUCAAUUGACGGUACCAGAGGAAUAAGCACCGGCUAACUCCGUGCCAGCAGCCGCGGUAAUACGGAGGGUGCGAGCGUUAUCCGGAUUUACUGGGUUUAAAGGGUGCGUAGGUGGGCUUAUAAGUCAGUGGUGAAAUCUCCGAGCUUAACUUGGAAACUGCCGUUGAUACUAUAGGUCUUGAAUUAUCUGGAGGUAAGCGGAAUAUGUCAUGUAGCGGUGAAAUGCUUAGAUAUGACAUGGAACACCAAUUGCGAAGGCAGCUUACUAUGCGGUGAUUGACACUGAGGCACGAAAGCGUGGGUAGCAAACA
rnacentral:rRNA from 1 species